UUUCCGUAGGUGAACCUGCGGAAGGAUCAUUAUUGAAAUCGCCGUUCGCGGCGCAUUUUCUAUAAGCCCGUGUGAACUGUGGCCUCCUUUUUUAGCGCUUUUUGCUGAAGGACAAGCCGAUCGAGUUACAAAACUACUAUCAUAUACAAAGGCAUAAAAUGAAGCAACGGAUCUCUUGGCUCUCGCAUCGAUGAAGAACGCAGC
rnacentral:misc_RNA from 1 species